GGCUGGUUAGCUCAGUCGGUUAGGGUGUGGUGCUGAUAACACCAAGGUUUGGGGUUCGAUCCCCAUUCGAUCC
rnacentral:tRNA from 1 species